rnacentral:rRNA from 1 species
UACGUAGGUGGCGAGCGUUGUCCGGAUUUACUGGGCGUAAAGAGCGCGCAGGCGGUCGUACAAGUCGCGUGUGAAAGCCCCCGGCUCAACUGGGGAGGGUCACGCGAUACUGUUCGACUCGAAGGCAGGAGAGGGAAGCGGAAUUCCCGGUGUAGUGGUGAAAUGCGUAGAUAUCAGGAGGAACACCAAUUGCGAAGGCAGCUCGCUGGGACGUUACUGACGCUGAGACGCGAAAGCGUGGGGAGCAAACAGG